UACAGAGGUCUCAAGCGUUGUUCGGAUUCAUUGGGCGUAAAGGGUGCGUAGGUGGCUCUGUAAGUCGGAGGUGAAAGCCCACGGCUCAACCGUGGAAACGCCUUCGAAACUGUGGAGCUUGAGGCUGGGAGAGGAAAUCGGAAUUCCUGGUGUAGCGGUGAAAUGCGUAGAUAUCAGGAGGAACACCGGUGGCGAAGGCGGAUUUCUGGACCAGUUCUGACACUGAGGAGCGAAAGCCAGGGGAGCAAACAGG
rnacentral:rRNA from 1 species